AAUGGGCGAAAGCCUGACGCAGCGACGCCGCGUGGGUGAUGAAGGCCUUCGGGUUGUAAAGCCCUGUGGGGAGGGAAGAAUAAGGGGUGACGAAUAGGCACUCUGAUGACGGUACCUCCUUAGCAAGCACCGGCUAACUCUGUGCCAGCAGCCGCGGUAAGACAGAGGGUGCAAACGUUGUUCGGAAUUACUGGGCGUAAAGCGCGUGUAGGCGGCAGCGUAUGUCGGGUGUGAAAGCCCUUGGCUCAACCGAGGAAGUGCACUCGAAACUGCGCAGCUUGAGUUCCGGAGAGGAUGGUGGAAUUCUCGGUGUAGAGGUGAAAUUCGUAGAUAUCGAGAGGAACACCUGUGGCGAAGGCGGCCAUCUGGACGGAAACUGACGCUGAGACGCGAAAGCGUGGGGAGCAAA
rnacentral:rRNA from 1 species